rnacentral:lncRNA from 1 species
AGAGCCUUUGUCAGCUAGAAGAAGACACUCUUCUGAAUACUGAAGUCGUGGCUGUGGAUAUGAUGAGAUUCUUCCCUGAGAAGGUUUUUGUUCCAGAAGCUCAACCCUAGGUGGUGAUGUGGAGAGGCAAUGAGGUCACUAAGAGACAGCGCCUCAUGGUAAAUUUUCCAAGACCCAACCCGUCUUCACCAGAGCUUCUGCAGACUGUGCUGCCCAGAAGGCCACCCACCCAGCCCAGAGACCACUCCUAACAAACGCUCCUCUCAUCCUUAUUCAGAGAAGCUUCCCUUUCCAUUGAAUAUCAGCAAAUACUGAGACUUAUGGCUAUACAAGGUGCUGUGAGUGAACCGUGGUGUGUCUAUGUGUAGUCCCCAUGUGUACAGGUGCCAUGGAAGCCAGAGGAUGGCACUGAUCCCCAGAGGAUGACACUGGAUCCCCAGAGGAUGAAACUGGAUCCCCACAAGAUGACACUGAAUCCCCACAAGAUGAGAGUGGAUCCCCAGAAAAUGCAUUGGAUUACCUGGAGCUGUAGUUAUAGGCAGUUGUAAGCCACCUGACAUGAGUACUGGGGACCAAACUUGGGUGCUCAUAACCAUUGAACCAUCUCUCUUGACCCUUAUUUUUUAAAAGUGUGUGUGUGUGUGUGUGUGUGUGUGUGUGUGUGUAUGUACCUGUGUGUACAUAAGUGUACAUGCCCAUGGAGGGAUUGACUCCUCCCAGAGCUUCACCACUAGGCCAUCUCUCCAGGCCCUAAAGCCAUUAUUUAAAAUAAAAAUAAUUAUUUUA